rnacentral:tRNA from 1 species
ACCUAGGUAGUUUAAAAAAAAUGUUGAUUUGUGGAGUCAAAGAUGUAGGCGUACCCUAGGUA